rnacentral:tRNA from 1 species
GCCGAGAUGUUGGAAUAGGUAGACAAGAGGGACUUAAAAUCCCUUGGCUGCUAACAGCCGUGCGGGUUCGAUUCCCGCUCUCGGUA